rnacentral:rRNA from 1 species
AGCGAACGCUGGCGGCAGGCUUAACACAUGCAAGUCGAGCGGGCAUCUUCGGAUGUCAGCGGCAGACGGGUGAGUAACACGUGGGAACGUACCCUUCGGUUCGGAACAACUCUGGGAAACUGGAGCUAAUACCGGAUACGCCCUUAUGGGGAAAGGUUUACUGCCGAAGGAUCGGCCCGCGUCUGAUUAGCUAGUUGGUGGGGUAACGGCCUACCAAGGCGACGAUCAGUAGCUGGUCUGAGAGGAUGAUCAGCCACACUGGGACUGAGACACGGCCCAGACUCCUACGGGAGGCAGCAGUGGGGAAUAUUGGACAAUGGGCGCAAGCCUGAUCCAGCCAUGCCGCGUGAGUGAUGAAGGCCUUAGGGUUGUAAAGCUCUUUUGUCUGGGACGAUAAUGACGGUACCGGAAGAAUAAGCCCCGGCUAACUUCGUG